GACGAACGCUGGCGGCGUGCCUAAUACAUGCAAGUCGAACGCAGUGGGGACGGGUGAGUAACACGUGGGUAACCUCCCAUCAGAGGGGAUAACACUUGGAAAAAGGUGCUAAACCGAUACUGAUGGAUGGACCCGCUGUGCAUUAGCUAGUGGGUGAGGUAACGUCCCACCAAGGCCACUAUGCAUAGCCGACCUGAUGGGUUGCUCGGCCACACUGGGACUGAGACACGGCCCAGUCUCCUACGGGAUGCAGCAUUAGGGAAUCUUCGGCAAUGGACGAAAGUCUGACCGAGCAACGCCGCGUGAGUGAAGAAGUUUUUCGGAUCGUAAAACUCUGUUGUUAGAGAAGCGGUAUCUAACCAGAAAGCCACGGCUAACUACGUGCCAGCAGCCGCGGUAAUAC
rnacentral:rRNA from 1 species